CCCUUAGAUGUUCUGGGCUGCACGCGUGCUACAAUGGCGCUUGCAACAAGUCUUGCCAACCCGAUAGGGUGAGCGGAUCUUUGAAGAGGCGUCGUGAUCGGGACAGUUGAUUGCAAUUAUUCGACUCGAACGAGGAAUUCCUUGUAAUCGCGAUUCAUCAUAUCGCGCUGAAUACGUCCCUGCCCUUUGUACACACCGCCCGUCGCUCCUACCGAUUGAGCGAUCCGGUGAAUGUUUUGGACUGGCGUCAGAAGCGGUUCGCUCCUGACACUACGAAAUUUUGGAAACCUUAUCGCUGAGAGGAAGGAAAAGUCGUAACA
rnacentral:rRNA from 1 species